GCACCACCAUUCUCUGUGAAUGGAUCUCUGGAAGGCUCCUUAUUUGACUUUAGAUAAUAAACUGUGGACAAAACACAAAAACCAACUACUGAAGUCUCUAAAGAAUGAACAAAAACACAUUCUUCCCCCUCCACAAGAAAACAUUUACAAUGUCUGGGAUGUAAUCCAAAAUUACUUGACAUAUGAAGAAUCUGGAAAAUGCAAUCCACCCCCAAUGGAAAAGACAAUCAACAGAAGCCAACCUUGAUACGACCCAGAUAUCAGAAAUAACAAGACUUUAAAGCAGCUAUAAUUACUGCUGAGGUAAGAGAAGACAUGCUCAUUAUGGAUGAAAAGAAUGGGAAAUCUCAGCAGAGAAACUAGAAAUAUAACAACAACAAAAACAAAUAGGAGCUUUAAAACUUGAAAAAUUCAAUAUCUGAAAUAAAAAGCUUACUGGAUAGGCUUAAUAGCAGAAUGAAGAUGACAAAAAAUUGAUUGGAAAAAGGUCAGUGAAAAUUACCCAAUCUGAAGAGGAGAGAGAAAAAAAUUUAAAAAGAAAGUGUUUCAGGACCCUCUGAAGUCCCAGAAGGUGGGGAAUGAGAGAAAGUGGUGGGAAAAAACAUCAGCAUAAAUUAUAGCUAAAAACAGUCCUAAAUUUGGCAAGAGAUAAAUUUAUAAAUUCAAGAAGCUCAUGAACUGUAAAGAAGAUUAAAAACAACAUCAAUCACAAAAAUAAAUGCCUAGGUUGAUAGAAACCAAAAAUAAAAAAGUUGUGAAAGGAGACAGAGAGAAAAAAACAUAUACAGGGCAACAAUUGGAAUCAUCGGACUUCUCUUUAGAAAAUAUGAAGUCCAGAAGACACCUGGAACAAUAUUUUAAACUUUCUGAGAUAGGAGAAGCACACUUCACUUUAAAUAUAAAGGCACAGACAGGUUAAAGUAAAUGGAUGUAAAAAGAGCAUGCAAACAGUGAAUGAUUAUCGUACUAAUAUUGGAGGGGGAAGCAUAUCACCUGCCUAGCUGCCACAGUAUGAUUUCAAAAAAAACAAGAACAUUCACCAAGAACAAACAAAAAAACCUCUUCAAAUAGACCAUGGAACUGAAUUCAAACUUGUAUCUGAUAACAGCGAUGACAAUAUCUCUCUAUAACAAUCCUGACCAGCAUAUAUCACAAUUACUACAGAGGCUACUGACAAGAAAUCCAACCUUGGUAUGCUGUACACGACUGUCCUCCCACCCUCCCAGUGAAAUCAAACAAAAUUAAUAAUAGUCUACUACAUCAGAGGGACUCCAUUUGGGGGAAAGUUUCAGGCUAUGCUCUUGCCUCAAAAUUGGUGGGGAAAACACAUAGACAUAUACAUACACACAAAGCAAAUACAGCAAAAUGUUCAAAAUUGUUGAAUCUAAGUAGUAAAUGUUAAGUGUUUAUUGUACUAUUUUUCAGCUUUUUGAAUAUAUUAAAAUUUUUUAUACUGAAAAAAGAGAAAAAUUAGCCAGAAGAGCUUUAUUCAAAAUACCUUCCCCUCUCUUUCCUUCACAUUUUGAUAUAUUCUUGUUGGGGAGGUGUAUCAGGAUAUUAACUGUAUCUUUUGAUACGAAAAAAAGUCACAUGAUUCUGGUAUAUUUCAACCACUGCUAGAAAAUCCACAUGGAUAAAUGCUAGAAUGAGGGCUAGGACUUUUUCUAGUUUGUCCAUUACUGCAUCUAGUAUAUUUUCAAGGAAAAAAUGUUCAAUGAAUAAAUGAAAAAUAGCUACCCUAGAUGUUUAAUAAAAAAGACAUCUGCACUUGUAUGUUUACUGUGGCACAAUUCACAGUCGCAAAGAUAUGGAAUUAACCUAAGUGCUCAUCUACAGAUGAGUGGAUAAAGAAAAUGUGUUAUAUCUAUAUCAUGGAAUACUACUCAGCCAUAAAAAGUAACAUCUUUUGUAGCAACUUGGAUGGAACUGGAGGCCAUUAUCCUAAGUGAAGUAACUCAGGAAAGGAAAACCAAAUACUGCAUGUUUUUACUUAUAAGUGGGAGCUAAGCUACGGAUAUGCAAAGGCAUGCAGAGUGGUAUAAUGGACAUUGGAGACUCAGAAUGGGGAUGUGGGACUGAAAAAAUCACCUACUGGGUACACUAUUCGGGUGAUGGGUACACUAGCAGCCCAGCUUCACUAUUAUACAACUUGCCCAUGCAACCAAAAACCACUAGUAUCCCUAAAGCUAUUGAAAAAAAAAAAAAAAACUUAGUAAGCCUCCUAGACUUUAUAAUCUCAAGACACGACUUUUUAACAUAAAUUCUGAACAUUAUCUGGAAAAACUGUUGACUGGAAUACGUUUGUUUGGUAUUUUUUCAAGGAUAGAAUGAUGUUUUGAUAAUCAGACUUCUCCUUUACUUGUCACUUAGUAACCUUCUAUACUAAAAAAAUUUAGUCAUUGAAGUGUAACAUGUAUUCAACUGAAGCUAGUUGAAUUCUCACGUUUCUCACACUCCCCUUGAGCUGGC
rnacentral:lncRNA from 10 species